rnacentral:misc_RNA from 1 species
AAAAAUGAGAGAGAUUGAUUAAACAUGGAUGGAGUUUAGAAUGACCAAGUUUGCUUGAAAUUUAUGCUGGUAGUAGGCAUGUUUUAGGCAGAGUCUUCAGUCAUAUUGUCAAUCAGGAGACUGAAUUGGUCCAAAUCACAAUUGUUUUUGGCUGCUUAGAAUUUUUGGCACCAUUAAUUCUAUGUGCAACCAUCAAUGUAUGUUCAAAUAAUGUUUGGGUAAUGUCUGAUGGCAAACAAGGAAAUAGAGAUUGAAA